AGCCAUUUGUGUGAGCGCUAAUUAACUUAUAUGGUAAGACUCUAUGGGAGGCUCCGACAAUAAAACUAUUUUAGAAGACACGGCAAUAUUUUACUAUAUGAAGUGAAAAUGUACAAGUUGUAGAUGGACAACUAUGGCAGCUCUUCUAUACAGUUAUUUACUGUCCAGCGAGGCCCUCAGAGGAUAUCUAAAGUAGUGAGAAUGUACACCUUGUUUUUCUAGGCCAACAUGACUUGGAUGAGUCAAUAGCAUAGUAGCCAUAGUUAUCUAAAAAGGGCAGUGUCCCAGGCAACAAGGUAAAUUGUUCUGCUGUCCAAUGCAUUGAAGCUAUAAUGCAUAUAUGCUUAGUAAAUUGUUUAGAUUUGUCUGAGACUAAUAAUGACCAACUUAGUGAAUUGUUAAACCUGAAAGUUUGUGUUUUCCAUUUAACACAGUGAAUUGUUUGCACAAUUCAGUUCCGUGUUGAUUGAAUGGACGUGACGUGAUGUUUUCUCCAGGGAACGGACUGAAGUGGAUUGACAUGGUUUCUGUCCAUCAUGCAGUUAUGUGCUAUUCUUCCUUGCUGCAGUGUUGCGCAUCUUUGCUGCUGUGGCUGACUCCAUGAAUAUGAAAGCUAUAUUUACUCCUAAGCUAUGAGUGUCCUCUAACUUCCUUCCAUGAGAGUAUCCUAUUGAAGUUCUAUCAGCCGACAGGUGCAUUGCACUGUUGAGGAGACACAUGCAUUUGUAUUCGAUAUUGAAGCGAGCCUGACACCCUGAAAGAACUAUACAAUGACAUUUGGCUAUUGCUUUCAGUAUUAGAGAAGCAUAGAAACAGAACUGCAGGGCUUACUGUAUUUUUAUGUGGCAUUCCUCUAUGCCAUCAUGCCAUACUGUUUAUUUUGAGCAACCUUUCUAUGGUAUUUUGUUGGACAGUUUUUAGUGUAAUCUCAAGCACCUCAAUAUAUGGUAAACAACUGCAUGCUUGGGUAUA